AAGAAGUGAGAAUGCCGGUGUGAGUAGCGAGAUGUAGGUGAGAAUCCUACACACCGAAAGCCCAAGGAUUCCAGGGGAAGGUUCGUCCGCCCUGGGUAAGUCGGGACCUAACGCGAGGCCGAAAGGCGUAGUAGAUGGAAAGCAGGCGAAAGAUUCCUGCACCCGUAUAUGGAGCGAAGGAGUGACGGAGACGGAUAGUGUGACCCUCUUAAUGGAUUGAGGGCGAAGCGAAGCGGCUGGUUACCAGGCAAAUCCGGUAACCAUAAGGCUAGAUCGUGACAGGUAAGCGAAAUCUUAGGAAAGUAGCGAAGCACAUGAUGACGGCUUCCAGGAAAAGCUUCUGGCAAUGCAUAUGCGGCCCGUACCAAAACCGACACAGGUGGGCAGGGAGAGAAUCCCGAGGUGAGCGAGAGAACUGUUGCCAAGGAACUCGGCAAAAUGACUCCGUAAGUUAGCGAGAAGGAGUGCUUAAGCAAUUAAGCCGCAGUGAAGAGGCCCAAGCGACUGUUUAACUAAAACACAGCUCUCUGCGAAGUCGCAAGACGAAGUAUAGGGGGUGACACCUGCCCGGUGCUGGAAGGUUAAGAGGAUCUGUUAAGAGCGAUCUGAAGCAGUGAUCCGAAGCCCCAGUGAACGGCGGCCGUAACAAUAACGGUCCUAAGGUAGCGAAAUUCCCUCAGGUAAGGUCUGACCCGCACGAAAGGUGUAACGAUUUGGGCGCUGUCUCGGCAGCAGACUCGGUGAGAUCUUAGUACCUGUGAAAAUGCAGGUUACCCGCAACUAGACGGAAAGACCCCAUGGAGCUUUACUGCAGCCUGAUAUUGAAUUCUGGUCAUACAUGUACAGGAUAGGUGGGAGACAAAGAGACGUGCACGCCAGUGUACGAGGAGUCGACGUUGGGAUACCACUCUUGUGUGACCGGGGUUCUAACCUGGUAUCGAGAACAGGUACGGGGAGAGUGUCAGGUGGGCAGUUUGACUGGGGCGGUCGCCUCCCAAAGAGUAACGGAGGCGCCCAAAGGUACGCUCAGAUUGGAUGGAAACCAAUCGUCGAGUGCAAUUGCAGAAGCGUGCUUGACUGUGAGACAGACAAGUCGAACAGGGACGAAAGUCGGGAAUAGUGAUCCGGCGGUGCCGAAUGGAAGGGCCGUCGCUCAACGGAUAAAAGCUACCCUGGGGAUAACAGGCUGAUCUCGCCCAAGAGUUCACAUCGACGGCGAGGUUUGGCACCUCGACGUCGGCUCAUCGCAUCCUGGAGCUGGAUUCGGUUCCAAGGGUUGGGCUGUCCGCCCAUUAAAGCGGUACGCGAGCUGGGUUCAGAACGUCGUGAGACAGUUCGGUCCCUAUCUGUUGUGGGCGAAGGAGAUCUGCGGAGAGCUGUCCUCAGUACGAGAGGACCGGGAUGGACCUACCGCUGGUGCACCGGUUGUUCCGCCAGGGGCAUAGCCGGGUAGCUAAGUAGGGAAAGGAUAAGCGCUGAAAGCAUCUAAGCACGAAGCCUACUCCAAGAUGAGAUCUCCCAUUCGCAAGAAGUAAGACCCCUUAAAGACGAUAAGGUAGAUAGGCCAGGGAUGGAAGUGCAGUGAUGUACGGAGUUGACUGGUACUAAUCGGUCGAGGACUUAAUCU
rnacentral:rRNA from 1 species